UGCCUGGCGGCCAUAGCACGGUGGCACCACCUGAACCCAUGCCGAACUCAGAAGUGAAACGCCGUAGCGCCGAUGGUAGUGUGGGGUCUCCCCAUGCGAGAGUAGGACACUGCCAGGCAU
rnacentral:rRNA from 1 species